CUGCAUAGUUUUGAUGCCUGUCCUGGAUCUCACUUUGUAGACCAGGCUGGCCUCAAACUCACAGAGAUCCACCUGGCUCAGCCUCCUGAGUGCUGGGAUUAAAGGCGUGUGCCCCCACCACCCGGCUCAUUUUCUUUCAGCAAGCAUGCUUGUGUUUAGAGAAAGAGAAAGCCAUUCUCCAACUCCAAAGGCAGCUUUAAUUUUUAAUUGAACUAGGACUACAUAAAGGUAAUUUAUGUUGUGUCUGUAGAGAACAGCAGAAACAAACAUUUAGGAAGACUUAUGAAAUUUUAUAUGUGACAUACCAAUAGGCCAAUUGACUCUUUUUCUUGAGACAUUUUCUUUCAGGAUAAUUUGUCCUUUUUCUUCAGAUGUCUCAUUUGUCCAGUGUUCUUCAGAUUCCUUAGCUGGAUGCCUUCAUUGUCCUGAAAGACAACAACAAAAACCCUUCCCCAAGCCUAACUUUGGGGAGGUUUCCUUUUGGGAAACUCCUGCCAGCACAGCUCCCAGUGAGUGCAGAAGAGGCAUUUAGAUUCCUGAAGAAACCCAAGGAGGAGACUGACACUGAUGAGCCUCUCAUCACGCUGCUGUGAUGUGGUACAGGUGGGCACCUGGGGACAGGAGGCUGCUGGUCACUGUCAUUCUCCACCUAAAAUGCCUCUGUGUCCCAGGAGACUUACUCUCCCAGUUCUUGUAUGGCCUUGAAUAAAUGGUUGUUUUGCUGAA